GGAAAAGAAAAGUGAGCAGAACUGAUUAAUCCAUGCAGGAAAUGGUGUGCAAUGUGUAACCCUUGUGGACCUCUCACCUCCUGGAUGGGGGAUUUGAGUUGGGGUAGGGGCACAUGAGGAAAGCUGCAGAGUCAAAACCUGGGCCUGGUGUCAAGAAGAAACAUUCUAACAAUGAGAGCUGCCUUAAUGUGAGAUGGGUUCCCUGAAGUGAUGCUUUGACCCUCCUUGCCGUUCUUCAAUGCGAGGCUGCAUGACCACAUCUCAGGCUUUGAUGCAAAGUGGGUUAAGGUUGUUAUCCAAGGGAUGUCUUGAGAGCUCCCGUGAGGGGACAGGGGCUCCCUGGCUCAGACCUUGGCAACCCCACUCCCUGGCUCCACAAACUUUCUCAAGAAGAGACCAGCCAAUACAAGACACGGGCCUCCAGAGACUCUUUGCCUCAGCUUGUCCAGGCAAGAAGGCCAAUGCUCCAGACCUGUUUCUUUUCCAAGAAGACUUCCUGAGGUGUCAUAGAUUGAUAGAGGGAGUGAGUGAACAUUUCUUAGGUGCUUACUAUGUGCCAAGCACUGUGCUAAGCAUAGGCAUGGACUUUAUCCCGCAGGAGGGGGUGGGCAAGGCAGCAAUCAAGGAGAAAGAAUAGAAGGAUAUGAAAGAGAAUCCAAGUAGGCAUGAGGUGAAUCACUGCUUGGGAAAUGAGAAGCCAUCACAGCCAACCUCAUUUUUUACAGGCUUGGAAAAGGAGACUCAAAGCAGUCCAAUGACUUUACCAGGGACACAUAGUUACAAGUAUGUGAAAGAGGGUUACACUCAAGUAGUCCUGACUCCAUUCUGAAUGUUGUAUCGACUACAUAGCUGGGUUAGCUACCUCUGCAUUCUCUAUCACCUUCCAUAUCCUAUCAGUUAUUAAAUCCUAGUAUUCCAGCCCCUUAUUUCUGGAGUGUGUGCCCCCUUGUCACUCCCAGUACCACCAUUAUUACUUCCAGAUGUUCUUUCUAGAAUCCCUUUUCUCACUUAUCUUCAAUCUCUCUGUAUCUAUGGGCUGCUUCCCACAGGCUUACAAACAUGACCAUGUCUCCCCAUUCUCUUUUUUAUUUUUUGGUGAGGCAAUUGGUAUUAAGUGACUGGCCCAGGGUCACACAGCUAGUAAGUGUUAAUUGUCUGAGGCUGAAUUUGAACUCAGGUCCUCCUGACUCCAGGGCUGGUGCCUUAUCCACUGUGCCACCUAGCUACCCCUCCCCAUCUUCUUGAUCUACUCCUCUCCACUGACUCUCAUCCUCUCCUCCCUUUUGUUGCUAAACUCUCCUGGUUCUCCUUCUACCUCUCUGACCACUCCUCCUUUGCUGGAUUUCCAUCCAGGACACAUCAGUUCACUGUGGCUGUCCUCCAUAACUCUAUCUUAUACUUGCCUCUUCUCCCUCUGUACUUGGUGAUCUCACUUCCCCUCUGUGUGGUUGUCUUCUCUAUAUCAUGAUUCUCCCCUCUAGUUAUUCUGUCCUAACCUCUCUACUGACCUCCAGGCUCAGACUUCCAACUGCGUCUUGUACAUUUUGAACUGGAUGUCCCAUAGAAACCUCCAACUGAACAUGUCCCCAUGUGAACUCAUCUUCUUCCUCCUGAAGUCUCCCCUCUUCCGACAUUCCUGAUUUCUGUUGAGGGCACCACCAUCCUCCCAAUCACUCAGGCACACACCACUUGGAUGACUCCACACUCUUUCUUCCUUUCUU